AAUAACAAAAACAGUGUUGCAUUUUAAACUUUGGGAAAAGCCUUGCAUUAAAAAUAAACAAGGCUUUUCUCAAGUUUACAAUGCAACACUGUUUUUGCUAUCAU
rnacentral:pre_miRNA from 1 species